rnacentral:rRNA from 1 species
CCUACGGGAGGCAGCAGUGGGGAAUAUUGGACAAUGGGCGAAAGCCUGAUCCAGCCAUGCCGCGUGUGUGAAGAAGGCCUUCGGGUUGUAAAGCACUUUCAGUGGGGAAGAAAGCCUUGGGGCUAAUACCCUCGAGGAAGGACAUCACCCACAGAAGAAGCACCGGCUAACUCCGUGCCAGCAGCCGCGGUAAUACGGAGGGUGCGAGCGUUAAUCGGAAUUACUGGGCGUAAAGCGCGCGUAGGCGGUCUGAUAAGCCGGUUGUGAAAGCCCCGGGCUCAACCUGGGAACGGCAUCCGGAACUGUCAGGCUAGAGUGCAGGAGAGGAAGGUAGAAUUCCAGGUGUAGCGGUGAAAUGCGUAGAGAUCGGGAGGAAUACCAGUGGCGAAGGCGGCCUUCUGGACUGACACUGACGCUGAGGUGCGAAAGCGUGGGUAGCAAACAGGAUUAGAUACCCGAGUAGUC